AAUAUUGCACAAUGGGCGCAAGCCUGAUGCAGCCAUGCCGCGUGUAUGAAGAAGGCCUUCGGGUUGUAAAGUACUUUCAGCAGUGAGGAAGGUGGUAGUGUUAAUAGCACUAUCAUUUGACGUUAGCUGCAGAAGAAGCACCGGCUAACUCCGUGCCAGCAGCCGCGGUAAUACGGAGGGUGCGAGCGUUAAUCGGAAUUACUGGGCGUAAAGCGCAUGCAGGUGGUUUGUUAAGUCAGAUGUGAAAGCCCGGGGCUCAACCUCGGAAUUGCAUUUGAAACUGGCAGACUAGAGUACUGUAGAGGGGGGUAGGAAUUUCAGGUGUAGCGGUGAAAUGCGUAGAGAUCUGAAGGAAUACCGGUGGCGAAGGCGGCCCCCUGGACAGAUACUGACACUCAGAUGCGAAAGCGUGGGGAGCAAACAGGAUUAGAUACCCUGGUAG
rnacentral:rRNA from 1 species